rnacentral:rRNA from 1 species
GUUACUUAAGAAACAAGUUUAAGCUUGAUCUUAAUUUGUAGAUAAGCAACAAAAUUACUUAUAAAUUUAAACAUCUUACUACUCUACAUUUUAAGUUUUAUUCACUAGGGGUACAGCCCUAGUGAACAGAGAUACAGCUCUAUUGAUUAGAUAAUAUCCAACUUAUAAACUUAAGUAGGCCUAAAAGCAGCCACCAAGAAGAAAAGCGUUACAGCUUAAGUUUACUAAACUUUAAAUACCAUAAUAUAUAAAGACCCUAUAACCACUAUUAAGUAAUCCUAUAUAAUAGGAAAUAUCCUGCUAAGAUUAGUAAUUUGAGGUCGCACCCCUCUAAAUGUAAGUGUAAACCAGAUCGGACCAACCACUGGAAAUUAACGGCCCUUAAAACAACAGGAAAUCAACAACAUGACUACCGACAGGAAAAACAAGAACUAAUAACCGUUAACCCUACACUGGAACAUAAUAUAGAAGAUAUAAAGGAUGAGAAGGAACUCGGCAAACACAUGCCUCGCCUGUUUACCAAAAACAUCACCUCCAGAUAAGAAUCGCCUAUUGGAGGCAAGACCUGCCCAAUGAUUAAUAUUGAAUGGCCGCGGUACUUUG